AACAGCCAAAACCUUCAUUUCUCCUCAAAAAUGGCGGCCUCUUCACUGCGCAAAGCUCUCACAGCAAAACCAAGCUCACCCCUUUUUCAACUCUCCUCCUUCUCCACCACCACUCUCUCUCCUCCCUUCUCCUCGUUUCGCGCAGCUCAAUCCUCCAUUGUUACAGAAUCAAACCCCACCAAAAUCGCCGACAUUCUCCUCUCUCAAUCUUCCUUCUCCGCCUUCACUCGUUACCGCCCCAUCUACCCUUAUGCCGUCCGCAAGCUUUCCCGCGCCAAUCGCUGCGACCUCGUUGAAACCAUCGUCAAAGAUCACCUUUCCAAGAGGAAGAAGGUUACUGAAGGUUUCGUGCUUCGAUUCAUCAUGCUUUACUCUGAAGCUGGUAUGACUGACUCUGCUCUUCGUUUGUUUUAUGAUUAUGGUCCUCAAUUUCAUGCUAGUGAAAAACCCUUUUGUGCAAUUCUUACUGCGUUGUUGAAUAAUUCGAAAUUUGAUGAGUUUCAUGAGGUUUUUGAUUGUGCUGCUGAGAAAAUGUCGGUUUCGCCUAGUGUUAAGGCGUAUAAUUUGAAAUUGAGGGCGUAUUGUGAGGAGGGGAAGGUGGGUUUGGCGGAGGAAUUGUUGGUGGGGAAGAUGGAGGAGGAGUUUAGGGUUUCGCCCGAUAUUCAUUCGUAUAAUGUGAUGUUGGGGGCUUAUUUGAAGGGGAAGGAUUGGGGGAAGUUUGAUGAGAUGUUAAAGGAGGUUUUAAGGAGGGGUUUAGAGAGUAAUGUGACUACUUAUAAGCAUAUGAUUGUGAGGUUGUGUAAGGAUAAGCAGUGCGCUCGAGCUAUGGAGUUGUUGAAAGAGAUGGAGGUUAAAGGGGUAAAGCCGAAUGCUGCUUGUUAUAAUUGGGUUAUUUAUGGGUUCUGUAGGUUAGGAGCUUUGGAUUCGGCUAAAAUUGGUUUGGAGAGGAUGAUAGGUGAUGGGCAUGUUGCACCGUCUUCAUUGACAUAUUAUACUUUGUUUAGGCAUUUGGUGCAAGGAGGAGAGUUUCUUUCAGCAUUGGAUACGUGUAAGGUGAUUCUGAAGUGCAAAUGGGUGCCUCCAUUUGAGGCAAUGGAAGGUCUAGUUAAGGGUUUGCUUGAAAUGUCGAAGAAAAAGGAGGCGUGUAAGGUGGUUAAGAAGAUGAAGAAAAGGCUACGGGGACCUGCUUUGGUCUCAUGGGGGAAGAUUGAAGCUGCUAUUCCCUGGUAGGCUUGUAUUAUGUUGAAAGUCCAAAGUGUAUUCGAUGAUAUCCACUUUGAGAAGGAUGGUGCAUUGGAACAAUGGUACGCACAUGACUUCAUCAGAACUGCUGGUGGUGUCGACCCAAGCUGAUUCCCAGAGUGAUUAAGGAUGAAAACGCUCAAACAUCUGUCAAAUCAAUCGUGGUCAGCAAUCUCAGCACAGCAUUUAGGGACAGGCUAGAAAAAUAAGUGAUUGCAAUUUCCUACUGUUACUGGAGUAUGGUACUAGAUGUGGUGAACCAAACUGCAAUCAAGUCAGCCGGCAAAAACAGAUAGAUCAGAACAACCCAUAAGAUAAGGGUGAGAAAUAAGGAAACACUGAAAGUUGGGUUCAGACUUCAGAGAAGUCUGAACUCUGAAGUCCAAGGUUAGCACUUAACAGAGAGUUUAGUGAUGACAAAUAGCUAGCAAUAUGUUUUACUAAUAUGUUUAAAUUGAUUUGAAGAUAUAGGAACUAAACCAAGUUGCUUGUUGCAAACUAAUUUUGCCAUCUUAGAGGUAAAACAUGGUGCAAAAUUUGAAUUAUAGUGUUGCAUCAGUUACAUAUCAGAUCCAAUGGUUUUGAGUCUUAUUUUUAUUUAUUUAUUUGAGACUAAUUCGUAGUAUGUAAUAGUAUGACUGAAGAACUUCAGUUAGUGUUUUUUCUUUUUUUUUUUUUUCCUUACUAAUUUUAAUUCAGUUAGGGAACAUUAAUUUCCAGAUCUAUCCGGAUUAGAAUCUUUAAUAUAUGGUGAUGAAACUGGCUUAUUCUAAAUGAUUUGUUUAAUCAUGAGUAAAGCAAAUCAUAAUUGCUGGUGGAAUAAAAGUUUUUACGAAUGCAUUGGUCGUGUAUCUGAGACAUCUGAAAGGAAAAGCACGAGGCAACGCUAAGAGCAUAUUCUUCUGUGAAUCCCAACUUGUGCAGUCAAGGCUCUUUGAACUCUUAGCAUACUCUACGCUUGCUCAUAGAGCAUAAUGGAAGUCAUUUUGUCUCCAUAAAUCAUAUGCCAGCAGCACUGUAAUGAAAUAGUAAUAUUCAGAAUUGCUGCUUGAGAUGCAAUUAUAUGCACUUCAUGCUACCCUUAGUUAUUUUUGGUUUUGUAUCAUCACUUGUUGAUGCCUGGUUGAAUAAUUGAGCAUGUAAUUAAAAUCUAGCUCCAAUUUGUUAGAAUUAUCUUUGGCUAUCCUGUGAUGAUGUUGACAAUCUUUCUACACCAUUUUUGUUUGAAUCUGAAAUUUUUUAGUGUUAUUCUUGUUCUCAAAAUAAGGAAUAUAAGUAUUGAGAAUGGUACAUGGCUAAAUUCCCUGCCCUACCAAUGUCUUGAAAGAAUGAUAAUAGAGAAGAUAAAGACUUGGAGAGCUUGGGAGAAGUUGGGGUGGUGUCCAAGAGCUGUUUCCCUUCGCUGCGGUACUUGUCCCUUUAUUAAUUUUUCAUUUUGAGGACUAUGUUUUUCUAGAGGAUUGGAGCAUGUCACUGCCUUAGAGGAGCUAAGCUUAAGCAGCUGUUAAGAUCUUAGGCCAUCAGAAGAGAGAGAUAAUGGCAUAGGGAUUUUUCCAUGGACUUUAUUACUCCCUCCACACCUUGAAUAUGCAGUAUGUUCUACAGCUGGUGAGUUUACCCAACUGGAUGCUGUUCUUGUCCUCCCUUCAAACCCUUUCUAUUACUGAUUGCAACUGACUGGAAUCAAUGCUGAAUUGGAUGCCCAAACUCGUUUUGCUCAGGGAACUGUGUUUCCAACUACUUGGUAAGCUUGGAGAGAAGAUGCCAAAAAGAUCCCCUUGUAGAGGACUGGCCUUGUAUUCAACACAUGCUGAAGAUUGAUUUUUAGUUUUUUACAGUAAUUCAGCCUCAUAAUACUUUUGGGUUCUUCUAGUAGUAGUGAGCAAAAGUUGCAGACUGGUGUUUGUCAAAUUAUUGUACUGAACUUCAAUAUUUGAUUUCUGACUACAAAAUUUUGUACUGUCAAACCUCUUAAAACGUUGGGACCAUUGUAUGCAUGUCUUUCCAUAAAUCUGUAUCAAGUUUCUGUUAUUGAUUGGCUGUAUUUAUAAACUGGCUGGAGUAGUCCAU